UAUUAAAUGAAGGGGAGGGAGGUGGAAUUAGGGACAUGUGACUACAGGGUUGGUGGAUUUUGAGGGGUCAGUGGCAAGAGGGAUUGGGGGGGACACAUUGAUCUAGAGGAGAGUGGGGGAAAGAAAUGGGCUGCGUUCUGAUAUCCUGCAUCCAGAAGUGUUCACACUUUCAUUUCACCUCAUGCUUUUAAAAGCACUGGAUUGGUGCAAGCAUGAUGGGGAGACAUUCCACCACAGCACCAGACCACUGGACGACCCCAGGACCAGACCACUGGACGACCCCAGGACCAGACCACUGGACGACCCCAGGACCAGACCACUGGACGACCCCAGGACCAGACCACUGGACGACCCCAGCACCAGACCACUGGACGACCCCAGGACCAGACCACUGGACGACCCCAGGACCAGACCACUGGACGACCCCAGGACCAGACCACUGGACGACCACAGCACCAGACCACUGGACGACCACAGCACCAGACCACUGGACGACCCCAGGACCAGACCACUGGACGACCCCAGGACCAGACCACUGGACGACCACAGCACCAGACCACUGGACGACCCCAGGACCAGACCACUGGACGACCCCAGGACAAGCGUUUGCUUUCCUAACCUCCUGUAUUAUUAGAAUAUUGUGGGGGAAAAUAAUAAACAAUUCACCACCUAAAACACUGCGAAUCAGGCAGAAGUGUAAAAUCAUGUUUAAUUACGGUUACGGUAAACUGCAUUUUAUCAACACUGAAGUUACACAGUGUUAUGCUUGAAUGUUUUUAGUUGAGUUACAUCUAAUGCCAAUGCUAUCCUUUGAAAUGACAGAACUGGAUUGGUAACAGCAACCCCCUGCGCUACAGUGUGUCAGCCUAUAACUUGUUUAGCACGGAGGUGCUGAAGGAGGAAAGAUGAAUGUGGUGGAAAAGGAGGGUUUCCUUACUGCUGUUUUGAGGAAGGGACCAUCGUCAUUAGAUGUCUGGUGCAAGGUGAGGUAAGGGGGAAGGUCUUUAUAGUUCAGUUAACCAUCAAGCCACCAUCAUCUGUUGGAAACAAACAUCUGGAAGACGUACUGGCUACAGGCAGGGCACUUCACUAUAUCUUUGUCUCAUUCUAUCUUGUUAUUGUUCAAUUUUCCAAUAAGAUUAUUACUUGAGAUAGCUGAAUAGAUAUUGUAGGCCGGCCCAGAAAUGACUCUUAACAACUGUAACAAGGUUUUAUUGUGUGAAAAAGAAGUAAGGGAAGCACUUUACAGUAAUAGAAGUUACUAUAUUGGUAAAGGGGUUAAUGUCUCUCUCUGAUGUAGAAUAAUGGCAGUAAUAUCCUGCAACUUACGGUAUUCAAUAUUCACCUUUUGAUAUUCAUCUUUCUGAUCUUUCUUGUAACUUAACAAUAGUCCUUUUGCACAUUGCUCCAGUCCCCCCCCCAGAGGUGGCAAGGGCCAGCCGGGCCCCAGCGGACCUCCGGCGCCCCCCAGACCCCUUGUUGCAUCCACACCCGAUCAGCCGGUGGGUCUACAUUCUCCCCAGUCACUUGAAACUACGAAGACCCUGAAGCAACAACAAAAACGGGGUUGUUGACACCAAAAUGUUCAGUUGAGACCAAUCAUAUUUCAGCUACGUUACUGUAGGGGAGGUGUUGAGGGGGCUGAGCUACAUUGUAGUAGCGCCUACCUGUUUUGUGAAUGCAGGAGAAAGACUAUGGGCCAUAUAACUGCUAUGAUGUAGAAUUAGAAAUGUCCCAUUCUUUGUUUCAGACCUUUGUGGUUUCUUCUGGGUAUCCUGCCUUAGAGACUUUUCUGGUGGGUCCACUUCUCUUCACUCCACUGAUAACCAAAAUACAUUCCCUCAUCAUCCUUGGUCCACUACGCCGGUCACUCGUAUAAACAACCCUGAACCCAUUACAGAUGUUUGUAUUCAAGAACAAACCUUGACUGAAGUAGCCCACAGCAUCCAAAUCUCCAAGUGGAAUGUAAUUUGCACUUGUAGUCCAUUUGAGUGUAAAGAAUUUGCUGAUGUCGAGCUGAACGCAUUCCUAGCUGUAUUUUGUCUAACUAAGGAAUUGAUAAGUUUGUUUUUAGCUAUGUUGUCCUUUACGACAUCUUUCAGGAGUUUAUAUUUCUUUAUUGGCCCUUUUACCAACACAAACUGUAUUACAGCAACAAACUGGGGACCAUUUGCAUGCAUGGGAAGGUGAGGGGUAGAAUGGGCCAAAAUGAAGUACAAAAAUCAGUUUGUCUUCUCUUGUGUUUUUUGUGGGGUAAGGGCUGCCUGUCUUGGCCCCCAGGUCCUGCAGUUGCUGGGUCAGUGGGACCCAUAGCUGACACUCUUGGCCACGCCAUGCUGGGGUUUGCUUUGUUUUUAAUGGUGGGGUCCUAAAAAUAUGUUGAAAUUAAGUGUCCAGGAUAUUGAAAUGAAGUGUCCAGGAUAUUGAAAUGAAGUGUCCAGGAUAUUGAAAUGAAAUUCUUCCAUCUCACGAGGAUAAGUCAUCUACCUGCUGUUUAUGUAAGACAAAGACUAAUUAAAGUAAAAUGAAUUGCUUUG